GCGGGAGUAGUUCAACUGGUUAGAGCGCCGCCCUGUCAAGGCGGAGGUUGCGGGUUCGAGCCCCGUCUCUCGCG
rnacentral:tRNA from 1 species